CCAAUAGCGUAUAUUAAAGUUGUUGCAGUUAAAAAGCUCGUAGUUGAAUUUCGGAAUCAAUUUGUUGGUCGUGCCUCGGUACGUACUGGUAUUAUUGGUUUCUACCUUCUGAAGAACCUUGAUGUCAUUAAUUUGGUGUCUUGGGGAAUCAGGACUGUUACUUUGAAAAAAUUAGAGUGUUUAAAGCAGGCUCGCGCUUGAAUACAUUAGCAUGGAAUAAUGAAAUAGGACGUUUGACCCUAUUUUGUUGGUUUCUAGGAUCGACGUAAUGAUUAAUAGGGAUAGUUGGGGGCAUUGUUAUUCAAUUGUCAGAGGUGAAAUUCUUGGAUUUAUUGAAGACUAACUACUGCGAAAGCAUUUGCCAAGGAUGUUUUCAUUAAUCAAGAACGAAAGUUAGGGGAGCGAAGACGAUCAGAUACCGUCGUAGUCUUAACCAUAAACUAUGCCGACUAGGGAUCGGAUGAUGUUAAUUUUUUAAUGACUCAUUCGGCGCCUUACG
rnacentral:rRNA from 1 species